AAUUUAUUAUUAUACAAAGGUAACGUUGAAUCAAUGUAUUAUACAAACGUAUUUUAUCACGAAUAACACAUAAUUUUAACUAAUAAGUAUAAAUGAAAUUACUAUAAUUAAUUGCUAUUCAAUUAUGAGAAAAUCAAGUCAGCUGCAGAAACCAGCAAACUUAUACAAUUUUCCAAUACGAAAUGGAGAUGAAGAAACAUUUUCCGAAAUAACCGAAGUCUAUAGAAAUAAAUGACAAUGCGAACCCAAUAAAAAGAAAAGCGAAUAAUUCAUUAAAAUAAUUACUUUAUCUGUAACAAUAUUUCGCCUGUGAUUUAUCCAAUUUGAGCAUCUUAAUUGGCAAUACGAAUAUGCACUCGAUGAGCUUAAUUUCCGAUUAAGAUUAUUUAGUUACACACCCAUCUGGAUUGGUGACUGAGACGGCCGUCUCAAUCGAGGAUUUAUGGUGGCUUUAUUUGCUUUUGGUUGAGAAUUUGGCUACUGUUUUGACCAGAAACCGUUGCGAACACCCUUGUGGCAUGUCAAUAAGCCAUUUCGUGAGGCUUUCGCUUAGUUUCGGAAAUAUCGCCUGAAUGAUUUUCGUGUUAAAUUAAUUAAAUUCAAUGCGUGCUCGACAAACAUUUGACCAGCGUUGAUAGAGUAAAUCUAAUAGCUUCUUCCAAACGCUUGCCUUCAAUUCGCAGUCCUUGUAAUUGGGAACUCAAUGAUUUUGCCUUACUUUCAACGCAUAUGUAUAUAUUUCAAAGUAUAUAUACAUUAUCGACAGUAGUAUCAUUAGCCAAGUUGAAAAACACAUUGAACUUUAAUUAUAUCACGUCAAUAAAUCAUACAUAAAUCUGAUCAUAUCCAA